rnacentral:tRNA from 1 species
GGAGGGGUGCAGGGUCCGGUGAUUCUCCCGGCCUUCAAAGCCGGUGGUCCUUCGGCGAACGCCGGGGGACGAUGGGUUCGACUCCCAUACCCUUCC